AAAAUAAUCCUACCUUUGUGAAUUUGUUUGUUUGAAUAAUUUUUUUUUUUAAAAAAUUAUUGGAGUCUUUCCCUUUAGAGUUUGCUUUUGAGUUGUAAAGAAUUCGAAAACAUCUAAAGGGGAUGGUCAAUAAUUUUUUUUGAAAAAAGACAUUUUUUAAAAUUAAACUUUUUGUAUUCAUUUGUCUAAAAAUUAUUUUAUAAUAUAAAAACAACUUUUGACAAUGGAUCUCUUGGUUCUCGCAACGAUGAAGAACGCAGCAAAAUGCGAUAAGUAGUGUGAAUUGCAGAAUACGUGAAUCAUCGAAUCUUUGAACGCAUAUUGCACUUUUUUAGUUUACUAAAAAAGUAUGUCUGUUUGAGUAUCAGUAAAAUAUUCUCAUAAAAAUCAUUGUGUAUUUUUAUGGUUAUGAGUGUUUUACAACGAUACAAGUUGUUUCACUUUAAAUUUUUUUUUUUUAAUAUUGAAAUUUUUCUAAUUUUAAUAAUUAAAAUUGGAUAAAAUUUUCCCGUCAAAAGGAAUAACCUAAACAAUUUUAAAUGAUUAAUUUUAGCAAAAUUUUCGAAAAAAGGAAAAUUUUUAUUAAAAUAACUUGAUCUCAAAUCAGAUAAGAGUACCCGCUGAACUUAAGCAUAUCAAUAAGCGGAGGAAAAGAAACUAACAAGGAUUCCCUCAGUAACGGCGAGUGAAGCGGGAAGAGCUCAAAUUUGAAAUCUUCAGGUUUUACCUUGACGAAUUGUAGUUUAAAGAAGUGUUUUCUGCUGAAGUUUGGUAAAAGUUCUUUGGAAUAGGACAUCGUAGAGGGUGAGAAUCCCGUAUUUGACCAUUAUUUUCAGCUUUGUGAUACACUUUCAAAGAGUCGGAUUGUUUGGGAAUGCAGUCCAAAAUGGGUGGUAAAUUUCAUCUAAAGCUAAAUAUUGGCGAGAGACCGAUAGCGAACAAGUACCGUGAGGGAAAGAUGAAAAGAACUUUGAAAGAGAGUUAAACAGUACGUGAAAUUGUCAAAAGGGAAGCGUUUGACACCAGUGUUGUUUUCUCGAAAAUCAAUUAAAAAUGGCUCGAUUUUGUAUUGCUGAGACCUUAAAAGCUCACUGUACAUUUUUCGUGUCUUUUUUAAUGCACUUUUCGUUUAACAAGUCAACAUCAGUUUCUUUUGUUGUAAAAGGUCAUUGGAAGGUGGCUUUCUUUCGGAGAAAGUGUUUAUAGCCUUUGGCCUCUGCAAUCGAAGAGACUGAGGUCUGCAGCGUAGACUCUUCGGGUUAGAUACAUUUGUGCUAAGUUAUAGCUUUUUAUAGACAACUUGUUGACUAUAAUUAGUCUUGUAGCUUACUCGCUUAUGCUAUUUUACUACGCUUAGGAUG
rnacentral:misc_RNA from 1 species